GCCGUUUAAAUGGAAUUUUUAAUGCUUCGCCUUUGGUUUAAUAUUAGCCCGUACGGUUCACCCGGAAACGAGCGUUCAGACAGACGACACUGAUAUUGACAUCAUGAUUCGUGAAGCAAAACGCAAAUUUUAUGGAAGAUAUGAGAUGCAGCUAGAACAAUGUAGGAUAUCUUCAAUCUAGGACACUAAAGACAAGAUGGGUAAGAAUUCAACUUUAAUAUUUUAUUCGAUUAACAUUUCACGAAGGAUUUUUAAAUGCCAUUUCCAAAAC
rnacentral:lncRNA from 1 species